rnacentral:rRNA from 1 species
UUUUAAAUGGCCGCAGUAUUUUGACUGUGCAAAGGUAGCAUAAUCAUUAGUUUUUUAAUUAAAAGCUUGUAUGAAAGGCUGGACGAGGUAAAAUCUGUCUCUAUUUAAAUUAUAAUAGAAUUUAACUUUUAAGUUAAAAGGCUUAAAUAUUAUUAAAAGACGAGAAGACCCUAUAGAUCUUUAUAAUUUAUUAAGUGAAAUUAAUUUAGAAAUAUUAAUAUUUUAUUUAAUGUAAUUAUUUUAUUGGGGUAAUAAAAAGAUUGUAUUAAUUCUUUUUUAUAAUAAACAUUGAUUUAUGAAUAUUAAUGAUCCAGUUUUACUGAUUAUAAGAUUAAGUUACCUUAGGGAUAACAGCGUAAUUUUUUUAGAGAGUUCAUAUCGAUAAAAAAGUUUGCGACCUCGAUGUUGGAUUAAAGAUUAUUUUAGGUGCAGAAGCUUAAUAAUUUUGGUCUGUUCGACCAUUAAAUCUUUACAUGAUCUGAGUUCAGACCGGCGUAAGCCAGGUCGGUUUCUAUCUUUAAUAAAAUAAAAUAUUUUAGUACGAAAGGACCAAAUAUUUGAUAUAUUUAUAUUUAAUUUAUUGAAUAUUA